UUCAACAAAAAUAUCGACUAAAAAUCUACGUAGCCUGAUAAAAUCGCCACAAAAAUUCGAAGAAAGAAACUUCAAAAUUCCCAAGCAUCAGCCAAAGGUUCUCAAAGAUCUCUUCUUUCGCUUCUCUGUAUCCAACACUGAAGGUAAAAGCAAGCCCACAUAUCUUUUUUUUUUCCUUCAAUUUUAUUUCCUUGUCAAUGUGAGCACAAAAGCUGAAUCAAAGAGGAGCAAAAACUGUUGCUUUGUUUGUUUGCCUUGAUGAGUGUCAACAUGGUAGACCUCUGCUCCUCUGGAGUUCUCUGUAGCAGUCCAGUGAAUUACAGAACCAAUGGCAAGAGAGCUGUUUCUUUUGAUUUGGGCAAUUGUAGAAGGCAGGGGUUUGAAAAUUUGAAGGUUUUCUCGUCUGGGUUUCUUGUGUAUCGCCAAAAUCACAAGAAAAAACAUGUGGGUGUUUGGGUGUUUAGUGUAAAAUGUAGCAUUGAUGCCGAUUUAUCAAGAAGUUGGGUCAGUUCAGAUAAUGUGGUGGAUGUUCUCAAGUCCAGUGAUGACCCAACUGAGGCAAUGGAUCUCUUUAAAUCCAUCGCACAACAGUCCGAGAUUGUACACACGACCCAUUCGUUCAAUUAUAUGCUUGAGUUCUUGAGGAAUCAUGGUAGGAUAGAAGACAUGGCUGUUGUGUUUGAUUUAAUGCAGAAGCAAAUUGUGAAGAAGAACGCGAAUACCUUUUUGACGAUAUUUAAGGGACUUGGUGUCCGCGGUGGCCUUAGAAGUGCUCCCUUCGCAUUAUCAAGGAUGAGAGAAGCUGGUUUUUUGUUGAAUGCAUUUUCGUACAAUGGGCUGAUUCAUUUUUUGCUGCAGUCGGGGUUUUAUAGAGAGGCCAUGGAAGUGUAUAAAAGAAUGGUAUCAGAAGGGGUAAAGCCUAGUUUAAAGACAUAUUCAGCAUUGAUGGUCGCAUCGGGAAAGAGGAAAAAGACUGAAUCUGUGAUGGGCCUUUUGAGAGAGAUGGAGUCUUUAGGGUUGAAGCCCAAUGUUUACACCUUCACUAUUUGCAUUAGAGUACUCGGGCAAGCUGGGAAGUUUGAUGAGGCUUACGGGCUUCUGAGGAGAAUGGAAGAAGAGGGGUGUCAGCCUGAUGUUGUGACUUACACUGUGUUAAUAGGAGUUCUAUGUGAAGCGGGGAGACUUGAUAAAGCCCAGGAAUUGUUUUCCCAGAUGAAAUCUAGUGAUCAGAAGCCGGAUAGAGUCACUUACAUCACAUUGCUGGAUCAAUUUGGUGAUGUUGGCAAUUUGAAAUUGGUGAUGGAGUUCUGGGAAGCGAUGGAAUCUGAUGGUUAUGCUGCUGAUGUGGUUGUCUUUACUAUAAUCAUAAAGGCUUUGUGUAAAGAAGGGAAGAUUGAAGAGGCUUGGGAGAUGUUAGAAACUAUGGGGAGUAAGGGAAUUUCACCUAAUCUUCACACAUACAACACAUUGAUUGGUGGGCUUCUUAGAGCAAACAGAUUGGAGAAAGCUCAAGAGAUUUUCGGCCAUAUGGAAGUUCAAGGUCCGAAGCCAACUGCUUACACUUUCAUACUUUUCAUUGACUACUAUGGGAAAUCUGGUGAAUUUGAGAAAGCUUUUCAAGCAUAUGAAAGUAUGAAGAUCCAGGGGGUUGUUCCUGAUAUUGUUGCUUUCAAUUCUUGUUUGUAUGGUCUUGCUGAGUCCGGUCAGCUUGUACAAGCAAAAGAAGUCUUUUAUGAACUAAAAGCUACUGGCCUUUCUCCUGAUUCUAUCACAUAUAACAUGAUGAUCAAAUGCUACAAUAAGGCUGGGAAAGCUGAUGAAGCUGUUAAGAUGUUUGAUGAAAUGAUGGAGAGUGGCUGUGAACCAGAUGAAAUUACGGUCAAUUCACUUAUCGAUACACUCUAUAAGGCAGGUAGAGAGGAGGAAGCUUGGAGAAUGUUUGAUAAAAUGAAGAAAAUGAAUCUUAAGCCAACUGUUGUAACUUAUAACACACUCUUGGCUGGUUUAGGUAGUGAGGGGAAAAUUCAGAAGGCAUUCAAAUUGUUCGAAGAAAUGGGUUAUUUUAAUUGUCCUCCGAAUACAGUAACAUACAACACUUUGCUGCAUUAUCUAUGUGGAGUUGGUGAUGUUGAUAAAGCCUUUGAUAUGCUUUAUGAAAUGAGUGAAAGGAACUGUACGCCUGAUCUUUUAUCUUACAACACUGUGAUAUAUGGUUUCAUUAAAGAGGGUAGAAUUAAUGAAGCAUUGUGGCUCUUUCAUCAGAUGAGCAAAGUUUUUGCUCCUGAUUUUGUGACUUUGUGCAGUAUCCUUCCUGGUUUUGUGAAGAAUGGUUUGGUAGAAGAGGCUCUACGAAUUGCCUGCAAAUAUAAUCUUCAGCCUGUUGCUCAAAUUGAUAGGUUUGCGUGGGAAUCUUUGAUGGAAGGGAUAGUACGUGAAGCUGGAGUUGAUCUCUCUGUUACAUUUGCUGCAAAAGCUGCUAUAAAUGGCAUUUUCCCAAAUGACUUCUUAUUAUGCUCUCUAAUUAAGCAUCUCUGCAAGAAUAAGAAAGCUCUUGAUGCUUACCGUCUCUUUGAGAAGUUCAAGGGAUACGGAGUUAGACCAACUCUUGAAGCAUAUAAUCCUCUUAUCGAUGGGCUACUCGAUAACAAGUCCAUAGAAACCGCGCUUCUGCUUUUUGAAGAGAUGAAAAGGAUGGGAUGUACUCCUGAUAUUUUCACCUAUAAUGCUUUGCUUGAUGCUCUAGGGAAAUCGAAGAGGGCAACGGAAAUGUUGGAUUUGCAUGAAGAGAUGCACUCUAAAGGAUGCAAACAUAAUAGCAUAACCUAUAAUAUACUCAUCUCAGGCCUCGUCAAAUCUAACAGAUUGGAGCAGGCGGUAGACUUGUAUUAUGAUCUAAUGAGCAGAGAUAUCUCUCCUACACCGUGUACUUAUGGUCCUCUAAUAGAUGGGCUUCUGAAAUCAGGGGAAAUGAACAAAGCAGAAGAACUCUUUAAUGAGAUGGUUGAAUAUGGAUGUAGACCGAAUUGCGCUAUAUAUAACAUCCUCAUAAAUGGAUUUGGAAAGGCUGGAGAUGUGGAUAAGGCUUUUAAGUUGUUUGAAAAGAUGGUUAGGGAGGGAAUUAGACCGGAUGUGAAGUCUUAUACCAUUCUUAUCGAUACCCUUUGCAUAAUUGACCGGGUAGAUGAUGCUCUCUGUUAUUUUGAGGAGAUGAUAGCAGCGGGAGUUGAACCUGACUUAUAUGCUUACAACUUUAUGAUCAACGGCCUUGGAAAGUCUCAAAGAUUAGACGAAGCGAUGGCUCUUUUCGAAGAAAUGAAGGUUAAAGGGAUUUCUCCAGACUUGUAUACUUAUAACUCUUUGAUAAUCCACUUUGGGAAUGCAGGGAUGGUUGGUGAAGCGGGAAAGAUGUAUGAAGAACUUCAACUAAAGGGCCUAAAACCGAAUGUUUUUACUUAUAAUGCUCUCAUUCGAGGGCAUAGCAGAUCAGGAGAUAGUGAUCAUGCUUAUGCUGUCUAUAAAAGGAUGAUGGUUGGGGGUUGUAGCCCUAAUAUUGGGACUUUUGCACAACUUCCUAGUCGAUGAUGAUUCAUUGGAUUGUGAUGUUUUCGACCAUAGGGACUUAAUGCAUUACAUGGUUCCUACUGAUUGACCGCAUCAAAAGAUUUUGCACAGUUGUGAGACCUUCGCUGAUCUUUUCGAGGGCGCUGAUGGAUCUACAAAUACCAAUUGUUUCCGAAAAAGGAGGUCUCCCAUGCACGUAAGUUGGUGCUGAGAGUUCAUCGACUAUUGCUCCGAUCCACUUCUGUCAUCCGACCGCAGCAUUUUGGGACUCGUGAUGCGACAACAUCCCGUUAUGCACUCUUAGUCAAUGAAUUUGCUUUGUCCUGGUUUGCUACCUCUACAUUCAGACAAAACGCAACGAGAGUGUUUCAGAAUAAACUCAGAGAUGCAGAUGCUGUUCUUUUUUUAUAUAACACCCCCUUACGCUAUAGUACACGAUCAUCGCGAAGUGGCGUGCAAUGUUGAUUCAGAAAUCCAGUUCUUGUUUGGAUACAGUGUUGAGGCCUGAUGUAGGGCACGCAAGGAAGAGAGAACUUCGUUGGAUACUUUGAUGGGCAUGGAAAGGUCGCAAGGACUAGACAGUGUGCAUGCAUUUAAUUUUGCACAAGAAACAUAACAUAUAAUUCGUAUGGAAAUUAUGUCAUCAAUUAUGAAUAUAGUGUACUGAUGUUUUUUUUU